rnacentral:rRNA from 1 species
GAGUAGCUUGCUACUUGCUGACGACCGGCGCACGGGUGCGUAACGCGUAUAGAAUCUACCUUGUACUAGGGGAUAGCCUUUGGAAACGAAGAUUAAUACCCUAUAGUAAGUAUUUAUGGCAUCAUUUAUACUUUAAAGGUUACGGUACAAGAUGACUAUGCGUCCUAUUAGUUUGUUGGUGAGGUAACGGCUCACCAAGACUUCGAUAGGUAGGGGCCCUGAGAGGGGGAUCCCCCACACUGGUACUGAGACACGGACCAGACUCCUACGGGAGGCAGCAGUGAGGAAUAUUGGACAAUGGAGGCAACUCUGAUCCAGCCAUGCCGCGUGCAGGAUGACGGCCCUAUGGGUUGUAAACUGCUUUUAUGUAGGAAGAAACACUCUCACGUGUGAGAGCUUGACGGUACUACAAGAAUAAGGACCGGCUAACUCCGUGCCAGCAGCCGCGGUAAUACGGAGGGUCCAAGCGCCAUCCGGAAUCAUUGGGUUUAAAGGGUCCGUAGGCGGGCUAUUAAGUCAGAGGUGAAAGUUUGCAGCUCAACUGUAAAAUUGCCUUUGAAACUGGUAGUCUUGAAUUAUUAUGAA